CGUGAGGAACCUGCCUUGGAGAGGGGAAUAACACAGUGAAAAUUGUGCUAAUACCGCAUGACGCAGUUGGGUCGCAUGGCCCUGACUGCCAAAGAUUUAUCGCUCUGAGAUGGCCUCGCGUCUGAUUAGCUGGUUGGUGGGGUAAUGGCCCACCAAGGCGACGAUCAGUAGCCGGACUGAGAGGUUGACCGGCCACAUUGGGACUGAGACACGGCCCAGACUCCUACGGGAGGCAGCAG
rnacentral:rRNA from 1 species